ACCCGACGAGCAGCGCGCCGACACCGAAUGCGAAACGCCCCCGCUCCCACCACCUCCCGCCCGGCUCCGGCGGCAUCUGCCGCCGUCCUCCGCCACCGAUGCUAACCUGUCGGGGACGGACGUCCCCGCCACCUCCACCGCCCACCGGGGUUCCCCCGCUGCCGGGCUCUGCUCCGCCACCGUCUCUCCCGCCUCCACCGCUGCCGGCGAGCCGCCCCGCAUCUCCCCCUACAGCCGGGCACUGCAGGGGACUUUCUGGACAAGAACAUGGGCGAUGCUCUCUUAAGAGGAAGAGAAAGUUGCUUUGAAGGAGAAUUGCCGCAAACUGGAAACUACUGCAUUGGACUUCUUCAACAAGUAUGAAUGGAAUUUCAGAAAUAGACUACAAGCAUAGCGUGUAUAGUCUAAAUGGGUUUCUAAGCUUCAUCUCAAAGGAGUUUUCUGGUGACUGGUUGCCGUAGAUUGCCAGCAGAGGAUCUUCAGCAAGUCCAGCUUGAAACUCAUGAAUCCUUUCAAGAACUAGCUUCCUUGGUCCUUUUGUUUCUCUUGUCUAGAACUUGUGUUGUGUUUGAGGUGUGGGUAGUUUGAGAGUUAUGCAAGACAGGAGCAGCCUAAAAGAAUUGCCGAAGGUUGUCAUCAGGAUGAGCUUCAGCAAGUCCGACUGGAAGCUUAGAAAUAGAUUCAAGAGCUUGCUUCUUUGGUCAGUUUGAUUCUUUGUGUUUAGAACUCGUGUUGAGUUUGAGGUGUGGAAAGUCUGAGUACUGCAAGUUGUAAUUUGCAGCUGUACGCUUUCAAAAUCUGAUUGCGGAGGCUGGAACAUUUUCCUUAAUCUAAAAAAAUUAAGAGCAAGUUAGACUUUCA